rnacentral:misc_RNA from 1 species
GCCGAAGGUGGGGCUAAUGACUGGGGUGAAGUCGUAACAAGGUAGCCGUACCGGAAGGUGCGGCUGGAUCACCUCCUAACAGGGAGACAACAAAAUGUAAAUAUUAAUUUUGUCACCUUAGGUCGAUCGGUAUCUCAGAUUCUUAUUAUUUAAGAAUUUCAGUUUCUAAGUUUUUUCUAGGUCACACCCAUCACUUUUUCCUGGGCCAUUAGCUCAGGUGGUUAGAGCGCACCCCUGAUAAGGGUGAGGUCCCUGGUUCAAGUCCAGGAUGGCCCAUACUCUAUGUUGGGGGUAUAGCUCAGUUGGUAGAGCGCCUGCUUUGCAAGCAGGAUGUCAGCGGUUCGAGUCCGCUUACCUCCACUGAUUACCACCUCUUCCAUAAUUAUUAGGGAAAUGUUUUGAGUAGUGAUCAAAUUCUGAACGAAUCUAGCUUCCUAAUGAAUUCAUUAAGAUGCUGGACUCAUUGAAUUAUUUUCAUUGUUUUCAGAGAA